rnacentral:rRNA from 1 species
AUUGAACGCUGGCGGCAUGCCUUACACAUGCAAGUCGAACGGCGGCACGGGUGCUUGCACCUGGUGGCGAGUGGCGAACGGGUGAGUAAUACAUCGGAACAUGUCCUGUAGUGGGGGAUAGCCCGGCGAAAGCCGGAUUAAUACCGCAUACGAUCUACGGCUGAAAGCGGGGGGCCUUCGGGCCUCGCGCUAUAGGGUUGGCCGAUGGCUGAUUAGCUAGUUGGUGGGGUAAAGGCCUACCAAGGCGACGAUCAGUAGCUGGUCUGAGAGGACGACCAGCCACACUGGGACUGAGACACGGCCCAGACUCCUACGGGAGGCAGCAGUGGGGAAUUUUGGACAAUGGGCGAAAGCCUGAUCCAGCAAUGCCGCGUGUGUGAAGAAGGCCUUCGGGUUGUAAAGCACUUUUGUCCGGAAAGAAAUCCUUGGCCCUAAUACGGUCGGGGGAUGACGGUACCGGAAGAAUAAGCACCGGCUAACUACGUG